rnacentral:rRNA from 1 species
UACGUAGGUGGCAAGCGUUGUCCGGAACUAUUGGGCGUAAAGCGCGCGCAGGCGGUCCUUUAAGUCUGAUGUGAAAGCCCACGACUCAACCGUGGAAGGUCAUUGGAAACUGGGGGACUUGAGUGCAGAAGAGGAAAGCGGAAUUCCAAGUGUAGCGGUGAAAUGCGUAGAGAUUUGGAGGAACACCAGUGGCGAAGGCGGCUUUCUGGUCUGUAACUGACGCUGAGGCGCGAAAGCGUGGGGAGCAAACAGG